rnacentral:rRNA from 1 species
CCGAUAGUGAACCAGUACCGUGAGGGAAAGGCGAAAAGAACCCCGGCGAGGGGAGUGAAAAAGAACCUGAAACCGUGUACGUACAAGCAGUGGGAGCACGCUUAGGCGUGUGACUGCGUACCUUUUGUAUAAUGGGUCAGCGACUUAUAUUCUGUAGCAAGGUUAACCGAAUAGGGGAGCCGAAGGGAAACCGAGUCUUAACUGGGCGUUAAGUUGCAGGGUAUAGACCCGAAACCCGGUGAUCUAGCCAUGGGCAGGUUGAAGGUUGGGUAACACUAACUGGAGGACCGAACCGACUAAUGUUGAAAAAUUAGCGGAUGACUUGUGGCUGGGGGUGAAAGGCCAAUCAAACCGGGAGAUAGCUGGUUCUCCCCGAAAGCUAUUUAGGUAGCGCCUCGUGAAUUCAUCUCCGGGGGUAGAGCACUGUUUCGGCAAGGGGGUCAUCCCGACUUACCAACCCGAUGCAAACUGCGAAUACCGGAGAAUGUUAUCACGGGAGACACACGGCGGGUGCUAACGUCCGUCGUGAAGAGGGAAACAACCCAGACCGCCAGCUAAGGUCCCAAAGUCAUGGUUAAGUGGGAAACGAUGUGGGAAGGCCCAGACAGCCAGGAUGUUGGCUUAGAAGCAGCCAUCAUUUAAAGAAAGCGUAAUAGCUCACUGGUCGAGUCGGCCUGCGCGGAAGAUGUAACGGGGCUAAACCAUGCACCGAAGCUGCGGCAGCGACGCUGAUGCGUUGUUGGGUAGGGGAGCGUUCUGUAAGCCUGCGAAGGUGUGCUGUGAGGCAUGCUGGAGGUAUCAGAAGUGCGAAUGCUGACAUAAGUAACGAUAAAGCGGGUGAAAAGCCCGCUCGCCGGAAGACCAAGGGUUCCUGUCCAACGUUAAUCGGGGCAGGGUGAGUCGACCCCUAAGGCGAGGCCGAAAGGCGUAGUCGAUGGGAAACAGGUUAAUAUUCCUGUACUUGGUGUUACUGCGAAGGGGGGACGGAGAAGGCUAUGUUGGCCGGGCGACGGUUGUCCCGGUUUAAGCGUGUAGGCUGGUUUUCCAGGCAAAUCCGGAAAAU